CCUACGGGAGGCAGCAGUGGGGAAUAUUGCACAAUGGGCGGAAGCCUGAUGCAGCGACGCCGCGUGAGGGAUGAAGGCCUUCGGGUUGUAAACCUCUUUCAGCAGGGACGAAGCGUGGGUGACGGUACCUGCAGAAGAAGCACCGGCUAACUACGUGCCAGCAGCCGCGGUAAUACGUAGGGUGCGAGCGUUGUCCGGAAUUACUGGGCGUAAAGAGUUCGUAGGCGGUUUGUCGCGUCGUUUGUGAAAACCCGGGGCUCAACUUCGGGCUUGCAGGCGAUACGGGCAGACUUGAGUGUUUCAGGGGAGACUGGAAUUCCUGGUGUAGCGGUGAAAUGCGCAGAUAUCAGGAGGAACACCGGUGGCGAAGGCGGGUCUCUGGGAAACAACUGACGCUGAGGAACGAAAGCGUGGGUAGCAAACAGGAUUAGAUACCCUGGUAGUCCACGCCGUAAACGGUGGGCGCUAGGUGUGGGUUCCUUCCACGGGAUCUGUGCCGUAGCUAACGCAUUAAGCGCCCCGCCUGGGGAGGUACGGCCGCGACGACGUAACUACAAGAAGUAGACGGCGUGAGACGNGCCGACGACGACGACGAGGGAGAGG
rnacentral:rRNA from 1 species